GAUCAUUAACGCGCAGGCCGGAGGCUGGCCCCCCACGAUAGGGCCAAACGUCCGUCAGGGGUGAGCAGAUGUGCGCCGGCCGUACCGCCCCAUUCUUGUCUACCUUACUCGGUUGCCUCGGCGGGCCGCGCUCUCCCAGGAGAGCCGUUCGGCGAGCCUCUCUUUAGUGGCUAAACGCUGGACCGCGCCCGCCGGAGGACAGACGCAAAAAAAUUCUUUCAGAAGAGCUGUCAGUCUGAGCGUUAGCAAGCAAAAAUCAGUUAAAACUUUCAACAACGGAUCUCUUGGUUCCGGCAUCGAUGAAGAACGCAGCGAAAUGCGAUAAGUAAUGUGAAUUGCAGAAUUCCGUGAAUCAUCGAAUCUUUGAACGCACAUUGCGCCCCCUGGCAUUCCGGGGGGCAUGCCUGUUCGAGCGUCAUUUCAGCCCCUCAAGCCCGGCUUGUGUGAUGGACGACCGUCCGGCGCCCCCGUCUUUGGGGGUGCGGGACGCGCCCGAAAAGCAGUGGCCAGGCCGCGAUUCCGGCUUCCUAGGCGAAUGGGCAACAAACCAGCGCCUCCAGGACCGGCCGCCCUGGCCUCAAAAUCUGUUUUAUACUUAUCAGGUUGACCUCGGAUCAGG
rnacentral:misc_RNA from 1 species